rnacentral:rRNA from 1 species
AUUGAACGCUGGCGGCAGGCCUAACACAUGCAAGUCGAACGAGUGGCGGACGGGUGAGUAAUGUCUGGGAAACUGCCUGAUGGCGGGGGAUAACUACUGGAAACGGUGGCUAAUACCGCAUACCAUACGAUGUGCCCAGAUGGGAUUGGCUAGUUGGUGGGGUAACGGCUCACAAGGGCGACGAGCCCUAGCUGGUCUGAGAGGAUGACCAGCCACACUGGAACUGAGACACGGCCCAGACGCCGACGGGAGGCAGCAGUGGGGAAUAUUGCACAAUGGGCGCAAGCCUGAUGCAGCCAUGCCGCGUGUAUGAAGAAGGCCUUCGGGUUGUAAAGUACUUUCAGCGGGGAGGCGUUACCCGCAGAAGAAGCACCGGCUAACUCCGUGCCAGCAGCCGCGGUAAUUC